CUCUACGGCCAUGCCACCCUGAACAUGCCCGAUCUCAGAAGCUAAGGGGGGGUCAGGUCUGGUUAGUACUUGGAUGGCGGACCACCUAGGAAGACCAGGUUCUGUAGGCA
rnacentral:rRNA from 1 species